rnacentral:snRNA from 1 species
CCGGAGCAGUUUUAGCUGG